rnacentral:rRNA from 1 species
UGGAAUCCUCUUACUAACAAUAUAUCCUGAAAUCAAGAGAGAUGUCGUAAGUUGUCUUGAUGUAAACGUACC